AUUUGAAAUCUGGCUCUUUCAGAGUCCGAGUUGUAAUUUGCAGAGGGCGCUUUGGCGUUGGCAGCGGUCCAAGUUCCUUGGAACAGGACGUCACAGAGGGUGAGAAUCCCGUACGUGGUCGCUAGCCAUCGCCGUGUAAAGCCCCUUCGACGAGUCGAGUUGUUUGGGAAUGCAGCUCUAAAUGGGAGGUAAAUUUCUUCUAAAGCUAAAUACUGGCCAGAGACCGAUAGCGCACAAGUAGAGUGAUCGAAAGAUGAAAAGCACUUUGGAAAGAGAGUCAAAUAGCACGUGAAAUUGUUGAAAGGGAAGCGCUUGCAGCCAGACUUGCCUGUAGUUGCUCAUCCGGGCUUUUGCCCGGUGCACUCUUCUGCGGGCAGGCCAGCAUCAGUUUGGGCGGUUGGAUAAAGGUCUCUGUCAUGUACCUCUCUUCGGGGAGAACUUAUAGGGGAGACGACAUACAACCAGCCUGGACUGAGGUCCGCGCAUUUGCUAGGAUGCUGGCGUAAUGGCUGUAAGCGGCCCGUCUUGAAACACGGACCAAGGAGUCUAACAUCUAUGCGAGUGUUUGGGUGUCAAGCCCGAGCGCGUAAUGAAAGUGAACGGAGGUGGGACCCCUUUAGGGUGCACCAUCGACCGAUCCUGAUGUCUUCGGAUGGAUUUGAGUAAGAGCAUGGCUGUUGGGACCCGAAAGAUGGUGAACUAUGCUUGAAUAGGGUGAAGCCAGAGGAAACUCUGGUGGAGGCUCGCAGCGGUUCUGACGUGCAAAUCGAUCGUCAAAUUUGGGCAUAGGGGCGAAAGACUAAUCGAACUAUCUAGUAGCUGGUUCCUGCCGAAGUUUCCCUCAGGA
rnacentral:rRNA from 1 species